rnacentral:rRNA from 1 species
GACGAACGCUGGCGGCGGGCUUAACACAUGCAAGUCGAACGGAAAGGCCCUGCGUUUGUGGGGUGCUCGAGUGGCGAACGGGUGAGUAAGACGUGAGUAACCGGCCCUUGACUUUGGGAUAACUUCAGGAAACUGGGGCUAAUACCGGAUAGGAGCUCCUGCUGCAGGGUGGGGGUGGGAAAGUUUGGGCGGUUGGGGAUGGACUCGCGGCUGAUCAGCUUGUUGGUGGGGUAGUGGCUUGCCAAGGCUUUGACGGGUAGCCGGCCUGGGAGGGUGACCGGCCACCUUGGGACUGCGAUACGGCCCAGACUCCUACGGGAGGCAGCAGUGGGGAAUCUUGCACAAUGGGCGGACGCCUGAUGCAGCAACGCCGCGUGCGGGAUGCCGGCCUUCGGGUUGUAAACCGCUUUCGCCUGUGACGAAGCGUGAGUGACGGUAAUGGGUAAAGAAGCACCGGCUAACUACGUG